rnacentral:rRNA from 1 species
GCGGAAGAGAUAAGUGCUGAAAGCAUCUAAGCACGAAACUUGCCCCGAGAUGAGUUCUCCCUGACUCCUUGAGAGUCCUGAAGGAACGUUGAAGACGACGACGUUGAUAGGCCGGGUGUGUAAGCGCAGCGAUGCGUUGAGCUAACCGGUACUAAUGAACCGUGAGGCUUAACCUU